AAGAGUAGAUUUGACAAUGAAAAGUUAAAAUCUUUGGAAGAAAAAAUUAGAGUUGCGGCAAGUUAUGCAGAAGAUGUUCUUGAGAUGAAAAUUUCUCAAAUCAUCAAAGUCUCGAGGUGGACAUUUGGAAUUUUACAACACCUGGAUUUUCUAAAAGCUGUUAAAAAAAUGGAUACAACAAAGAAACAAGUGAUGGAGAUUCUUUCUCAUGAUGCUAAUCAAGUUAUUGAAUUAUCCGGGGAUUCCUUGAUAGGCACUCUUUCUUCAAGUUACCCGAUUUUGUCAAAUCAGUCAGCAGAUGAUAUUGUGCACGGACUUGAUGAUGACUUGGAGAUAAUAGUUAAAAGAUUGAUAGGACAAUCACGGGAUCUAGACGUUGUCACAAUAACAGGCAUGGGUGGCAUUGGCAAAACAACGCUAGCUAGAAAAGCUUAUGAUCAUCACCCAAUCAGGUAUCACUUUGACAUUUUUGUUUGGGUUACAAUAUCUCAAGAAUUUCGAUGUCGAAAUGUAUUGUUAGAAGCUUUACAUUGCAUUUCAAAGCAAACUGAUAUUGUGAACGCAAAAGAUUAUGAUAAGAUGGAUGACAAUGAGUUAGCUGACCUGGUGCAAAAGAACCUAAAGGGUCCAAGAUACCUUAUUGUUGUUGACGAUAUUUGGAGUACAGAUGUUUGGGAUAGUAUAAUAGGAAUAUUUCCUAAUUACAACAAUGGAAGUCGAAUCUUAUUGACUACUAGGGAAAACGAGGUAGCAAUGUAUGCAAAUACUUGUAGCCCUCAUGAGAUGAAGCUUUUGAGUUUAGAAAACGGUUGGAGGUUACUUUGUGAUAAGGAGUUUGGACCAAAACAUGAUCAUCCUCCUGAGUUAGAAGGAAUUGGAAAGGAAAUAGUAGAAAAAUGCCAAGGACUACCCUUGACAAUCUCAGUGAUUGCGGGACAUCUCUCUAAAGUGGCCAGGACAUUAGAAAGUUGGAAGGAUGUCGCCCGAACCUUAAGUGAAAUAAUUGCUAGUCAGUCAGAUAAAUGCUUAGGAGUGCUCGGUUUGAGUUACCACCACUUGCCUAGUCGCCUUAAACCUUGUCUUUCUUUCUAUGAGUAGUUUCCCAGAGGAUUUUCAGGUUGAUACUCGGAGACUGAUCCAAUUAUGGAUCGCAGAAGGUUUUGUAAGGAUUUCCAAAAUGGUAAAAGUUUGGAGGAAGUGGCAAUUGAUUAUUUGGAGGACCUUAUUAGCAGGAACUUGAUACAGGCUAGAAAAAGGAGAUUCAAUGGUGAGAUAAAAGCAUGUGGAAUACAUGAUCUACUGCGUGAGUUCUGUUUGAUAGAAGCUGAAAUGACAAAGCAUAUGCAUGUUGAGAGAACUCACCCUACUACUCUUCCAAACACAAAAGCAUAAUGUUCGUCGCUUCAGUAUUCAAGCCUUAUCUUAUUCAGUUGAUGAUUAUUGUAAGGCAUUACCCCCUGUCGCCAGAUCUAUUUACCUUUUUUCUCACUUUGAUCAACCUCUUGAAUUUCUCUCUCGUUUCAACCUUCUCAGGGUAUUGGCCAUCUUCAAUGAAAAUGUAAGUUGUCAGUCAUUUCCACUAGUGAUUACAAAGUUAUUUCAUUUGAGAUAUCUCCAAUUUCCAUUUCACAACGAUAUUCCUGACUCAAUCUCGGAGCUUCAGAAUUUGCAAACUCUAAUUUGUGGCAGGGAUGCCAAAUUUAGUGGUUAUCCUUUAGAUAGAAGUUAUUCUUUACCUGGGAAGAUAUGGAUGAUGAAGAACUUGAGGUAUAUUCGUAUGAAGGGACUCCUUUUUUUAUCCAGUCCUAGAACAGAAAGUCUUCUGACAGGGAUGCCAAAUCUAGAGGAAUUUUCUAUUCUUUGUUCCACCAGUUGUACAAAUGAAGUCUUCUCUGGCAUUCCCAAUCUAAAGAGGUUGAUCAUUCAUCUACCAUAUGAAAUAAAUGAAAUUUUCAAUCGGCAAUUGGAUAUGUCCAGAUUGAUAAAACUCGAAGCAUUCAAGUUUUAUGGGUCAACUUUUUUUCGACACCCCAUCAAGAGAAUUGGUUUUCCAACAUCACUUAGGAGGUUGUCUUUAACUCUGUGUAGUGAUUUUGAUUGGGUAGACAUAUCCUCAACUUCUAUGAUGUUGCCAAAUCUUGAAGAGCUCAAACUUAAACGUUGUCUAACCUUUAGUCGUAAAUGGAGAUUGAGUGAUGAAAACAAGUUCAAAAGCUUGAAGUUGUUGCUACUGAGUGGCGCAAAUCUUAUUCAUUGGGAAGCUAGCAGUAAUAACUUCCCAAAUCUAAAAUGCCUUGUUCUGAAGGGCUGCCACACACUGCUAGAAAUUCCAGCAGAUUUUGGGGAUAUUUGUACUUUGAAAUCAAUUGAAUUACAUGAUUGCCCCCCUCGUGUUGAGGAUUCUGCAAGAAAUAUUGUACAAGAACAAGAGGAUAUGGGAAAUAAUUUCCUUAAGGUCUACAUCAUUCAUAACAAUUACUGUAACUUCUAAACAGUUCUUCGAUUCUCCCAUCUUUGCUUCUGAUAGGAAUGUCAGAGAGUAGAUGUAUAGUGUAUAAUCUCCAUGAUGUCUUGGGGAAUGAUACGUAGACGAUGAAUGAGAUUCUUUUACUUUUUGUGAACUUUGACUUCUUUUUUAUCGUAUACUAUUGAUGUUGAAACUCAUUGCAAUUAUACAUUAAGCAAGUACAUACAUUGGCGUAAAGUCCCCAUCUCUUGAGGUAGAAAAAGUUUGAUGCAAAUGUUGGUUAUUUGACGAAAAGAGAAUAAUAUUGUGCCAUUUUCUAAGAAACAGAGGUGUCUACCCUUUGCUAUGAUACUAUAUACCAUUUGUUCUACACAAAAGUCUACUUUUUUGUAAGCCAAUUUUCUUACAUAGGUAAAGGCGGAGCUACAAUCAUAGAAGAGUGGUGGAGCUAGGAUUUCUACCUGAAAAUUAUAUUGAACAUUCUUCACUUAAAAGUUAUGUUGUGUAGCUCAAACAAAGGCACGCAGAGGAACUUGCUUCUUUAAGUUAGCCUUUUAGAGGAACAAACAAGGAACAAAGUGAUUGUUUUCAAUUAGUAGCGGAGCCAGGAUUUUUAUUAAGAAAGUUCAAAACAUGAACAAGUAAACAAACACAACAAGUCAAUGAGGUUCAACGUUUAUUAUAUAUUAGUCUUUCGACACGCGCUUUUUGUGUGUACCCCAUAUUUGCUAUACAAUCUAUUUGUUAUUUUAUGACAUUAUCGUUAAAAAAACUUUAAUAUAAUGUCAACUUGGACAUUAUUUAUGAUCUCAAAUGACCAAUUCUGACAACUCAAGCAUUAGGGCUACUAAUGUCACAAUGAUUAACAAUAUGACCAAUUCUGCAACUGACCAUUCUUGAGACACUAUGAGUUCUUCUUUGUUACAACCUGUGGGAUUAAAAUUGGAAAAAGGCAUAAGUAGCCCCUUCAAUUAUGAUCGAAAUUUCAGGAACACACUUUAUUUUUCAUAUUACCCCUAAACUUCUUCUUUUUCUGUAUUGCUUUGCACCUUAUGUGCAGACGUGGAGCCACAACCUAAUUUAAUUAGUUCCAGUGAUAUACAUGCGCCUCCACGUGUAUAUAUGUUUUUUUAGAAAAAAAAUCUUUAAAAAUUUCUUAUCUUUUUUCUAUUUCUUUUAUUUUCUUUACAUUUUUUUUAUAUUUGAUUUCAAGUAUCUUGUACUUAAAAUAAGUUAAUUUUGGAUAUAUACCAAAAAAAAAUGAAUAAAAUCACAUAAAAAUAGGGAAAAUGGUCUGAUAUAGCCCUCAACUUUGUGAUAAACCCCGUUAUGAAAGUGGCUAAUAUAUACAUGUUAUGAAAGUGACUCAUAUAUACCCUUAUUGUUAUACAAAUGACUCACAUAUACCCUAUUAAAACGUUAAAAAAAUUCUCAUGUAUUGACAUAUAAACCGUAUUUACAUCCAAGUGUAACUUUAGACUUGAUUUCCUCGAAAUUUCUUUGGGAGCAAUUUCAAUGUAGUUUCUGCUGUCAAUUCACAGAACAACGUUUUGAAAAAAAAAUUGGGAGCAAUUUCGCGGUAGUUUCUACUGUUAACUCUAAGUACUACUAUUUGAAAUUUUUUUGGGACUGUCAAUUCGAAGUACAACGUUUUGAAACUUUUUUAUACAACAAGUUUCUAUAAAUACAACAAGUCUCUACUCCUUGAAGAAUUAUUUUGUUUCAAUUCCUUUCCAUAUUGACUUAAUGGCAGCCUAUACUGCUGUAAUUUCUCUUCUUCAAACUCUUGACCAACGAAAUCCACAACUCUUUCAUGGUCACACUGCUGAAGCGCUCGAUUCUCUUCAUGCUACUGCCGAAUAUUUCCAAAACGUUCUUGAAAAUGCUAGCAAGAGUAGAUUUGACACUGAAAAGAUCAAAUCUUUGGAGGAAAAAAUUAGAGUUGCUGCUAGUUAUGCAGAAGAUGUUCUUGAGCUGAAAAGUUCUCGAAUUGUCAAAGUCUCGAGGUGGAAAUUUGGAAUUUCACAACACCUGGAUUUGCUAAAAGCUGUUAAAAAAUGGAUACAACAAAGGAACAAGUGAUAAAGAUUGUUUCUCAUGAUACUGAUCAAGUUCUCGAAUUAUCCGGGGAUUCCUUGAUUGGCACUUCUUCUACAAGUUACACAAUGCUGGAAAAUGAUGUCGUGAACGGACUCGAUGGUAAUUUGGAGAUCAUAGUUAAUAGGUUGAAAGGACGACCACGGGAUCUAGACGUUGUCACAAUAACAGGCAUGGGAGGCAUUGGCAAAACAACACUUGCUAAAAAAGCUUAUGAUCAUCUCACAAUCAGGCAUCACUUUGACAUUCUUGCUUGGGUUACAAUAUCUCAAGAAUUUCGACCUAGAAAUGUAUUGUUAGAAGCUUUAAACAGCAUUUCAAAGCAAACAGAUAUUGUGAACGCAAAAAAUUAUGAUAAGAUGGAUGACAAUGAGUUAGCUGACCUGGUGCAAAAGAACCUAAAAGGUCGAAGAUACCUUGUUGUUGUUGAUGAUUUUUGGAGUAGGGAUGUUUGGGAUAGUAUACGUAGAAUAUUUCCUAAUUACAAUAAUGGAAGUCGAAUCUUAUUGACUACUAGGGAAAACGAGGUAGCAAUGUAUGCAAAUACUUGUAGCCCUCAUGAGAUGAAACUUUUGAGUUUAGAAAACGGUUGGAAGUUACUUUGUGAUAAGGUGUUUGGACCAAAACAUGAUCAUCCUCCUGCAUUGGAAGAAAUUGGAAAGGAAAUAGUAGAAAAAUGCCAAGGACUACCCUUAACGAUUUCAGUGAUUGCGGGACAUCUCUCUAAAGUGGCCAGGACAUUAGAGGGUUGGAAGGAUGUUGCCCGAACCUUAAGUGAAAACAUUGCUAGUAAUCCAAAUAAAUGCUUAGGAGUGCUCGGUUUGAGUUACUAUCACUUGCCUAAUCGCCUCAAGCCUUGUUUUCUUUCUAUGAGUAGUUUCCCAGAGGACUUUCAGGUUGAUACUCGGAGAUUGAUCCAAUUAUGGAUUGCAGAAGGUUUCAUAAGGACAUCUGUUGGAAGUCGUAAAAGCUUGGAGUAAGUGGCAUAACAUUAUUUGGAAGACCUUAUUAGCAGGAACUUGAUACAAGCUAGAAAAAGGAGAUUCAAUGGUGAGAUAAAAGCAUGUGGAGUACAUGAUCUACUGCGUGAGUUCUGUUUGAUAGAAGCUGAAAUGACAAAGCAUAUGCAUGUUCAGAGAACUCACCCUAUUCUUCCAACACAAAAGCAUAAUGUUCGUCGCUUCAGUUGUCAAACCUUAUCUUAUUCAGUUGAAAAUUGUUUUAAGGUAUUACCCCCUGUGGCCAGAUCUAUCCACUUAUUUUCUCGAUUACACCUACUUCAUAAACCCCGUCAUAAGCUUCUCGGCACAUGUCCCAUCUACCAUCGUAAUCCUAUAAUACAUGAAUUUUUCUCUCGUUUCAACCUUCUAAGGGUAUUGGCCAUCUUCAAUACAAUUGGAUACUUCGAAUCAUUUCCACUUGUGAUUACAGAGUUGUUUCAUUUGAGAUAUCUCCAAGUUCCAUUUUACGCAGAUAUUCCUGAAUCAAUCUCAGAGCUUCAGAAUUUGCAAACUCUAAUUUGUAGUGGUAAUUAUUUUGAUAUAACUUUACCUGAGAACAUAUGGAUGAUGAAGAACUUGCGGUAUAUACGUCUGAAGGGACCCUCUUAUUUACCCAGUCCUAGAACAGAAAGUCUUGUGACAGGGAUGCCAAAUCUAGAGGAACUUUCUAUUCUUUGUUACACGAGUUGUACAAAUGAAGUCUUUUCUGGCAUUUCCAAUCUAAAGAGAUUGAUCAUUUCUCUACCUUUUAACAAUACAAAGUUUCCCUAUCGGCUAUUGGAUAUGUCCAGUUUGACAAAACUCGAAGCAUUCAAGUUUUACGGGUCACCUUAUUUGGGAAACCCCAUCAAGAAAUUUGGUUUUCCAACAUCACUUAAGAGGUUGAGUUUAAGCAAGUGUAAUCAUUUUGUUUGGGCAGACAUAUCAUCAACUGUUAUGAUGUUGCCAAAUCUUGAAGAGCUCAAACUUAAACAUUGUCGAACCUUGAAUGAUGAAUGGAGAUUGAGUGAUGAAGACAAGUUCAAAAGCAUGAAGUUGUUGUUACUGAGCAAACUAAAUCUUGAGCAUUGGGAAGCUAGCAGUGAUAACUUCCCAAAUCUAUAACGCCUUGUUCUGAAGAAUUGCAACAAGAUGCAAGAAAUUCCAACAGAUUUAGGGGAAAUUUGUAGUUUGGAAUCAAUUGAGUUACAUGAUUGCAGCACUACUGCUGAGGAUUCUGCAAGAAAGAUUGUACAAGAACAAGAGGACAUGGGAAAUAAUAUCCUUAAUAUCUAUAUCCAUAACAGUCGCAGUAAGUUGUAAACAGUUUUUCGAUUCUCUCGUCUUUGUUAUUAUAUCUUACCUCCUUCAAAUAAUUAAGAUAAUGAUUUCUACAUUUUAUCUUGCAUAUACAGGCUUAUUUUGAGGGACCAUCUAAUGCCAUCUUCCAAAUGAAGAACCUUUCAUUUAUAUUUUGAAAAGUAAAAUCUUUCGUUUUUUAAUACAUUUGUGAUUUUGUAUUUUGUAAACGGUAUUUAUUGAUGUACUGUAAUAUCUAUUUCGUGUAAUGUGAUUAUUCGGAAUAGAAAAUGUUAUCAAUUUAUUAUGUGCGUAUAAGAAUCGUUGGUUUCACUUGGAAUCUGUUUUCCUCUGUUCAUGUACAAUACAUGUUUUUCAUUGAAUUACAUAACUGUGACACUACUGUUGAAGAUUCUGCAAGAAAUAUCGUUCAAGAACAAGAGGUCGAGCAGUCAGGUGAAAAAGUUUUAGAUCUCUCUAAAAGUCACAGAAAUUUAACUGUUUGAGACCAUUAUUUUUAUCUAGAUAUCGAUAAUCACAAGUAUACUAUGUGUUUGGUUUCUUCUUCAAUCGCAUAAAUGUGUAUCAGCAAUAUAAGGUAGCUUGUGAAUUGUGUCAAAAUUCAGGCUUUGAUCAGCUAAUGAAUUGUGUUGGAAUGUUGAUACUAACCAAGCCAUUUCACUUACAUCAAUUUCGUGAAAUCACUCAUCGAAAGCCCCAAAAAGACGUCAAGGAAUAGUAAGAAAAGAGAUACGGUUUGAACACAUGAUGAAGACAGGUAUGUAUAGAGAGCUAAAUCACGUUUGAUGUGAACAACAUACAGAGCAACCAACACUCUGUAUAAAUGUUGCUAAAGGCUUUAGCGACUCUAGUUGCAAAGGCAUUAACUCAGUUACAUCUAAAUAUUUUUGCGGCAAUAAAUAUUGUCACUAAAUAUCUCUUUUAUUAUAGUGAUUUGACAUACCACAUUUCAUUGGUAAUAGUCACGUCCUCAUUGUUACAAUAGCUUCUUCCUAUUCCACAACUCCCACAACAUCUUCCUUGUCCAUUUCCUCUAUAAGUACUCUUUUUUCCUCCAUAAUCUUUCAAGGAUGCUUGAUUUUGAUAAAUAACCUUUCAAUUGUUCAAUCGUCAUUGAGUAAAUCUUUAGAUUCUCAAUACCAUGCACCACAUAAUCAAACUUAAGUGUUAAAGGGCAAAGGAUCUUUUCUACCACACACAUACCGUCUACUUCCUCCCCCUACCUUCUUAUUUGAUUCACAACAAUCAUCACUCUUGAACGGAAAUUAGAAAUGGAUUCUUUCAAUAUUUUUAAAAAUUCAAAAUAAUCCCUAAAAGUUUGAAGUUUUACCUUUAUCAUUUUAUCAAACUCAUUGGAGAAAAUUUUGUAGAAUCUCUCAAGCUUCCUUUGAUCACGUGGAUGCAUCAGUCACCUUCUCAAACAUAUCAUCAUCCAAAAAUGACUGAUGAGAGAGAGGACUUGUUGAUCUUUCUUCCUUGUUUGAGGCAAAGUUUCUUAUUACCAAGUUUUGUACAACUACCAAAUAUCUUAAGACACAGAAUGAUUUUCAUUCGUAGACACCUGUUUCCAUAAUAUAUAUAUAUAUUGUGAGAAGGGGAUAAUGAAAAGAAAGCAGACUAUUAUUUGUCAUGGCUCUAAUACCAUGUUAUUGAAAAAUAAUAAUCUCAUCCAGGAAUAAUAUCCACGCUAAAUAGCAAGAACAAGAGAGUAACAACAAUAGCAAAUAUCUUUUAACGGAGUAAAAAUGUAAUAACACUUGUUACGACUUGAUAGUGUCAAGAGACUACUACCACACCUUCAAAACAAGCAACACUCUUUUAUUUCACACAACUAACUACGAUAUUACUCUAACUGUGAGUACGACAUGAUAAAAAUUGAUUUAGCUAGCUACUUGGAGAAGCAAAUUGUAGGAGCUCUUCAUCCCUCUCAAAAGCUAACAUGUCUUGUUCCUUCAAGCCACUUAUCACUUCCACUCCAUCCCUAUUUUUAUUAUCCAUCAACAUAAACAUGUUUUUAAGUGGUGUACAAACUUUUUCAGGCUUUCCCCAUCCAAAGUCAACAUCAUAAAUGGGGAAUUUGGUGGUGCUACUCAUAUAGAAAUUAGAAGAUGAACUGUUGAAAAUUGUUUCAUUAAGUGCUUCUUGUGCUAUAGAUGCAAAUUCAUUUGGUUGAGCAUUUUUAUAUUUUUUUCGUAAUUCUUCUUUUGCCUUUCGUAGUUUACCAACUAUUUGUGGCAAAUCCAUUUCUUUCUCAUCUUUUGUAUGUAUACAAUAUGGAGAAACAUUGUUUCCCAUAGUGUUUUUUGGCAACGGAGGACGCAAGUUUAAAGCCUGGUGGAGUGUAGAUGUCACCACUUUUUUUGUAGCCAUGGCGCGUUGGUAAAUGAAUGCUGACACAACUUCUGUAUCAGUUGGAUUUUGUACUUCUGAUUGAUUAAUAACCCUAGCUUUCAGCGCGGUUAAUUUGGAGGACGAGAAAGAAAAACUUUUGAUUGAAUAUUUUUCUGUUUCUAGUUCGGGAAUGAAUGUUGUUUGUGACAAAUCCUCUUUUAUAGGUGGAAAAUAAGACGCUCCAUUAAAUUGAGGAGUCAUUGGUAAUAUCUCUGAACUCAUAGGAUUACGCGCUAUAGUAGCCCAAUGGUUAGUGAAGUUGCAUAAUGUAUAUCCAUCCGCAAUCUUAUGUGAAAAACAUAUACUGAUUGCAAUUCCGCCACAAUUAAAGUGACUAAGUUGAAACACUGCAAGACUACCCUUGUAUGAAUACGCAUUAGCAACUCCCUUCGGAUAGACUAAAUUAUGUUUAUCAGCAUAAGGGUCGUUGAGAAAUUCAGACAUUGGACAAUCUAUUUUUGUAGUGAAGAAUUCAACUCCAUUAUCAUUACAAUCAACAGAAAUAUUGUCAUUCAAUUCCCCUGCCAAUGGAUAAUAAUUGGUCAAAACUUUUGAAAGGGAUUUCUCAAGAUGUUGAGAUACAACAUUACUUGGUUUAUUUGACCAUGUGUUACUCAAUUUAGGGUAAAAAUAGACAAUAGGAGUAUGGAUGCAACAAAUUAUUUGAUCAAGAAAAGAGAGUUUGUGACAACGAAGUGAAAUUGGAGUAGGUGAAUAUGGUUUGAUUAUUUUUUACAAACUGAGGAUACAAGUUUUGAUACACUACUCAUAUUGUUGAUACAAAUGUGUUUGAAAUAUGCAAGAAAUUAUGCAGUGUGUUUUGUACAUUACUAUACAACUAUAUAUGUAGAUGAACAAAGACAACUUAUUUAUAAGCAAUAAAUUAUUUAGACUAACCUAUUAAAUGUGUACGUAAGCUUAGGAGUUGCCACUUAUAAAUAGUGCACUCUAGAAAACUAAACUUCAUAGGUUACAAACAAGUAGCUAGAGACUAAUUAGGUAAAAAUUUAGUAAAAAAUAUAUCAAUCUUAUAAUGUUAAGAGCUAAUUACAUCUUAUCCUUACUCUUUUUCAAAUUAAAAAAAUCCCUUAAAUUUUUAAGAAUUUCGGAUACAUUACUCACGUCCCGAUACAUUACCUUUGUUGAUAAACAAGACACACAUGUCUCGAUCUAUCGCUCAACGUCCCGAUACAUCAUGUUCCGAUAUAUAAUUACCAGCUUUGUUGAUACAAGAUACACUUGUCCCGAUGCAUUACUUUUGUUCAGGGCCGGACCCACCCUAUGUCAUGGGGUAUUGACCGACAGUGCUUCGUUGAAAAAGUUUAGUAUUACAUACUAAACAAAAUCUGAAAAAAUAAAAAUAACCCUACAAAUAACAUUAAUGACACUUCUUGAGUAAAUGAGCUUCUUGGCUCGUUGCUUUGCCGAUCAAAUGAAAUGGUAAUAAGCUUCAAUUGGUUUGAUUUGCUUUUUCUUCUUCCUUGUAAUAAAAAUAAUUUAUUUUCAGCAGCGGCCAAACAUUUAGAUGAGCAAAAUAUGGGUAGGCAUAGGCAGGACACCAAACUGUGUAGGUGGACCUAAAUUUUAGAACUUUAUAACCAAUUACUAAGAUUUUACUUUAUUACUUCAUCAGGCUAAUAAUAGUUGUUCAUAUACUAUUUUAGAAUGUCACACAAUACUUGUUCAUUUAUAAAAUUAAUAAAUAAUUUUAUAUUUAGUUUCUAAUUUACUCAAAAAAUUACUUUACAUUUGAUAUUUGAUUUAGGGUUCGAUGAAUAUUGUGUGUACACUAUAUGCACUUGAAUCUAAAUGUUUUUCACCACUUAACAUUUUUGAAUUUUUUUUAAAUGUCAUAAUUUGAAGAGUUGAAUGUAUCUAUAUUAUAACUAUGGACUAUGGUCUAAUAAUGUGACAGAUCUUUGGCCCAUUAUCUUUUUUUACUGUUUAGUUUUGUAAACUCUUAGUUUUAAUGAAAAUUAUUUUUAUCUUUGAUUGUUGCAGUUCAAGUCUUUUAAUCAAUUACCAUUACUCUUCCACUCACAUCUUCACUAUUAAAAAAAUGAUAAAUUGAGAAAAGCUUAGUAGCUGCGAGACCUGUCAAGUUCCCACUUGAUCCUACAAGUCUAUAGUCUAUACUUCUUGCUUUGAUGGCAAUCGUUGGUCGCUUGCUUGAUUGGAAGGACUGAUACAGAUCUCUUUUUUUCAAUAGGGAAAGCAAAUCCUAAUCAUCAGGUAAGACGGGAUCAUUAGAAUACGAAACUGUCACAUACAAUGACAUACCAUAUAAUACAGCUAUCAAUAGGAGGUAUAUUACCUAUCCAUCAAUAAUUCUUUUUUCCUUCUCUCUUUCCCCUGGUUCGAAUCACCCUGAAUGAAGAGUGAGCGAACAAGAUGUAAAACAUAUCAUAAAUGUUGAAUUCUAAGAAAGAAGGGGGGGGGGGGGUCCUUCUCGUGUAUGCGCCUUUAUUUAUAUUCUUUCUAUUUUUGAAUGGGUGAGGGUAUUCUGCCUAAAUAGUAGACAAUGAUAAUAAAUAAGAGAAUAGACAACAACUGAUUAAUAUUUUAAAUUAACAAUAUCAGUUAAAACUUUUAAUCCAGUUUUGUCUUUCGCAUAGUAAGAAAAAAAAAGUUACACUCUUUAGACUUUAAUUAGGAAGCUCAUAAGUCUUAUUAAGCCUCAAUUGAGAUAAAUUUAAAUAUGUAACAAAGAGGGGGAAACAUUAUGCUUUGAAUAGAUAAGAAAAUAACCAAAUUCAAAUCAAAUAUUGUCAGUUAUUAAAAUUCAUUUAGACACCUUCAAAAACUAUAUGUCAUGUCAGGAUGUGGACAAUAGGGACGAGUUAGAGUAUUUAGUUGUCAUUUGAAAUCAAGUUAAGAUGAUUACAUUUCCACUCUCAAAGUUGGAAUAUUUACUUAUCAGGGAGCCUGAGACCAAGUUUGAGUGUCAUGUUUAUGUAUUAUGCCUUAUAUACCGUUAAUUUUUUCUUAAUUUAAAAAGCACCAAUUAGUAUUGUUCAUUUGAUUAAUGUUGCUUUUCUGAUCCAUUAAUUAACAACUGUAAAGAUGCUUGUUUUAUUCAAUCAAGAACAAAUAAAAAAAAAAUUAGUGCUUCUAAAAGGGAUGGGAAAAACAUUAGUACUAUAUACCUACUGGAAUUGACAGAUCCAAUUUCACACACACAACUGGCAUUGACUUAGUUUUUUUUGGGCAUGAGCUAAAAAUUGAGUCAUAACUCAACCCUCGUAUUCAAAGUUUUUUCUUACAACCAAAAAAUUUCUCUCCUUGCAAACAGAGCUUGUUCAUCUUCAAACAAUAUUCCAUUUACAAUAUUUUGAUUAAUCUUGAAUACUUGAUGGCAGCUUAUAGUGCUGUAAUUUCUCUUAUUCAAUCUCUUGACGAACGAAAUUUUCAUGAACUCUUUCAUGGUCAUACUGCUGAAACGCUCGAUUCUCUUCGUGCUAUUGCUGAAUAUUUCCAAAAAGUUCUUGAUGAAUUUGAACCUGGAAAAAUCAAAUCUUUGGAGGAAAAAAUUAGAGAUGCUGCUAGUGAGGCCGAAGAUAUUGUUGAGCUGAAAACGCGUCAAAUCAUCAAAGGGAGAAGCUGGAUGUUUGGAAUUUUACAACACCAGGAUUUGCUACCACUUGUUGAAAAAAUGGAUACAAUAAAGAAACAGGUGAUGGAGAUUGUUUCUCAUGAUGCUGAUCAAAUUCUUGAAUUAUCCGGGGAUUCCAUGAUUGGUACUUCUUCUACAAGUUAUGCAAUGCUGUCAGAUAAGUUGGAAGAUGGUAUCGUUCAGGGAAUUGAUGAUGACUUGGAGAUCAUAAUUAAAAGAUUGACAGGACCACCAUCGGAUCUAGACAUUGUCACAAUAUCAGGCAUGGGUGGCAUUGGCAAAACAACACUCGCUAGAAAAGCUUAUGAUCAUCUAACAAUCAGGUAUCACUUUGACAUUCUUGCUUGGGUUACAAUAUCUCAAGAAUUUCGAUGUAGAAAUGUUUUGUUAGAAGCUUUACAUUGCAUUUUAAAGAAAAUAGAUAUUGUGAAUGCAAGAGAUUAUGAUAAGAUGGAUGACAAUGAGUUAGCUGACCUGGUGCAAAAGAACCUUAAGGGUCGAAGAUACCUUGUUGUUGUUGAUGAUAUUUGGAGUAGGGAUGUUUGGGAUAGUAUAAGAGGAAUAUUUCCUAAUUACAACAAUGGGAGUAGAAUCUUAUUGACUACUAGAGAAACUGAGGUAGCAAUGUAUGCAAAUGCUUGUAGACCUCAUGAGAUGAACCUUUUGGAUUUAGAAAACGGUUGGAAGUUACUUUGUGAUAAGGUGUUUGGACCAAAACAUGAUCAUCCUCCCGAAUUGGAAGAAAUUGGAAAGGAAAUAGUAGAAAAAUGCAGAGGACUAC
rnacentral:lncRNA from 1 species